CGUCAUUCCGCCAGCGCCAGGACCUCUGUCGCUGGCCGUGGUCUCGCACUGCUUCUGGAGGCUCCCAUUCCAGCCAGAGGAGAGGUGCGUUUGGGGGCCCGGGGGAGUCCUCGUGAUAUCUCCGAGUUUGGGUAUUCGGAAUUGAUCCUACGAAAGCAGUGUGAGGCUUGGAAGGGCCGCGACUUGUCCGGACCUAACACCCUACAUGACUGCAUGGGAGAUACGGCCUAUAAGAAGAUGAUUAAGGUUAAUGAUGUCAGAAGGUGGAACCCUGAUUGGAGACAAGUGUAAGAGACCCAAGAGAUUCUCUCUCCGCCAUGUGAUGACACAGCAUGAAGG
rnacentral:lncRNA from 1 species